rnacentral:rRNA from 1 species
GCGACUGCAGUUACUUGACGUAGCCCCGAAACCUGUCGCCCUACCCAUGAGCAGGAUGAAUCGAAAGUAAAAUUUCGUGGAGGUCCGAACCCACGAGCGUUGAAAAGCGCGGUGAUGACUUGUGGGUAGCGGUGAAAGUCCUAUCGAGCCCGGAGAUAGCUGGUUCUCCCCGAAAUAGCUUUAGGGCUAGCCUCAAGGUGAGAUAUACGGAGGUAGAGCACUGAAUGUCCUAGUGGGUAUUGCACAUACAGAAGAAUAUCAAAAUACGAAUGCAGUCAUCUUAUACUUGGGAGUUAGAAUGUGGGUGAUAAGAUUAAUAGUAGAAAGGGAAAUAGAAAAGAGAGUAAGAUAAGGGAAAGAAAGGUAAGGUAAGUGGUAAAGGAUG